rnacentral:rRNA from 1 species
UACGAACUGUGCGAACGUUAAUCGGAAUUACUGGGCGUAAAGCGUGCGCAGGCGGCUGUGCAAGACAGGUGUGAAAUCCCCGGGCUCAACCUGGGAACUGCACUUGUGACUGCACGGCUCGAGUACGGCAGAGGGGGAUGGAAUUCCGCGUGUAGCAGUGAAAUGCGUAGAUAUGCGGAGGAACACCGAUGGCGAAGGCAGUCCCCUGGGCCUGUACUGACGCUCAUGCACGAAAGCGUGGGGAGCAAACAGG